rnacentral:lncRNA from 1 species
CAUGACUAAAAUGAUGGGAUCUUGAACCUUGAGCUUGAGCUGAAUGCCAUAAUAGAAAAUGGAAUAUUCCACAAUCUUGUUCUCAAAUUCCUACAUGUCUACAACUCUCUGACUUGAAAGGCAGCUGUCUCUUUUAGGUGUUCCCACUCCGUAACCUUUGGAGUCAAUGAGGCCCCCGAUCUGAGUGAGGUUGCAGUUUCUCUGCGUCACAUACUCAAUGCUGGUGGACUCCAUCAGCAGCGCGUAGUCUGUGGUGGAGAUUUUUGAUUUCUGGAGGGAAAGAAAACACACUCACCAGCAGAAGAGGGCUGGAAAAAUACGACCUAAAGAUCAUCUGCCGAAUCUAUGGGGGAUUCCAUUCUCUCUACUGUCAAGAAGGCAGCCAGAUUGGCCGUGUAGGAUGAAAUGAUGAUUAGGGUGAAAAACCACCAUAUCCCUCCAACUAUUCUGGUCGAUAGAGCUUUGGGCAUCAGCUCUGAUCCUGUGAUGGUAUCAUCAGAGUAAGGGUGUUAAACACAGUCAGAAGGAAAGGGAAGAUGUACAGUUCGACACUAUUCUAGGAAGAUCAACCUGUAAAAGACUUACCGUCUUCCAACAUCCCAUGCACCAUCGUGGAGACUGGCUGGAUGCCCUGUGCUCUAUCAGGGCAUGUCAGACCAACAGAGGGGCAAAUCAGAG